rnacentral:rRNA from 1 species
GACGAACGCUGGCGGCGUGCCUAAUACAUGCAAGUAGAACGCUGAAGAGAGGAGCUUGCUCUUCUUGGAUGAGUUGCGAACGGGUGAGUAACGCGUAGGUAACCUGCCUUGUAGCGGGGGAUAACUAUUGGAAACGAUAGCUAAUACCGCAUAACAAUGGAUGACACAUGUCAUUUAUUUGAAAGGGGCAAUUGCUCCACUACAAGAUGGACCUGCGUUGUAUCAGCUAGUAGGUGAGGUAAUGGCUCACCUAGGCGACGAUACAUAGCCGACCUGAGAGGGUGAUCGGCCACACUGGGACUGAGACACGGCCCAGACUCCUACGGGAGGCAGCAGUAGGGAAUCUUCGGCAAUGGGGGCAACCCUGACCGAGCAACGCCGCGUGAGUGAAGAAGGUUUUCGGAUCGUAAAGUUCUGUUGUAAGUCAAGAACGGGUGUGAGAGUGGAAAGUUCACACUGUGACGGUAGCUUACCAGAAAGGGGCGGCUAACUACGUG